CAAAACAGCAGACGAAAUACAAAAACAAAACUACCAAUGAUUGGGGAGAAAACUCCGCAGAUCGAAACGUGGAAUGGGGAGAAGCACAAAGAAAAUAAAAAGAGUAAAGAUAGCACCAUUAGAAACCCAUGCGUUCAAAAGCCAAAAUGUGUGCAGAUUCGGAUUCAGAUCUAGCAACAUAAUGUGUGGCACAUUCAUUACUUUAAAUAUUCAAAGAAUAUUGCUCUAAAAGUACACCGGAUAUCAUUACAUACUCGAAGUCACACGAAAUUCAGCAUAACUUUUCUCAAGUGCCGCAGUGUUAUUUGGAUUUGGAAUGUUACUGGAGCCAUAUAUUUAAUCACCGACCGCUUUGGAUUGCUUACGUAUAGGUAGUUCCGCAUGCCGAAAUCACACGCAACAGGCUUUACCAACUCUCUGGCCGGAAUUUAUGCGGUAUCCC